GACGGUAACUAACCCCACGGGUGGGUAUAGCCGCGGGAAACUGUGGGUAAUCCCCAGCGACGUCACGAGGGGGCAUCCUCUUGUGACCAAAGGUCCGCCGCCGUGGGACGGGCCGUCGUGGUAUUAGGUUGUUGGCGGGGUAACGGCCCACCAAGCCUACGAUGCCUACCGGGCGUGCGAGCGUGGCCCGGCACACUGGGACUGAGACACUGCCCAGACUCCUACGGGAGGCUGCAGUCGAGAAUCUUCGGCAAUGGGCGCAAGCCUGACCGAGCGACGCCGCGUGGAGGACGAAGGCCUUCGGGUUGUAAACUCCUGUCGAGGGGGAAGAAGGCCCCAAAAGGGCUUGACUGAUCCCUGGAGGAAGCACGGGCUAAGUUCGUGCCAGCAGCCGCGGUAAGACGAACCGUGCGAACGUUAUUCGGAAUCACUGGGCUUAAAGCGCGUGUAGGCGGGACGGCACGUCGGUCGCUGAAAGCCCCCGGCUCAACCGGGGAACGGGCGCCGAUACGACCGUCCUG
rnacentral:rRNA from 1 species